GAUUGCACACAUACCACCCUCUCUGCAAUCGCGGCUG
rnacentral:ncRNA from 1 species